ACGGAAGGCAGCAGUGGGGAAUAUUGGACAAUGGGGGCAACCCUGAUCCAGCCAUGCCGCGUGUGUGAAGAAGGCCUUUUGGUUGUAAAGCACUUUAAGCAGGGAGGAGAGGCUAAUGGUUAAUACCCAUUAGAUUAGACGUUACCUGCAGAAUAAGCACCGGCUAACUCUGUGCCAGCAGCCGCGGUAAUACAGAGGGUGCGAGCGUUAAUCGGAAUUACUGGGCGUAAAGCGAGUGUAGGUGGCUCAUUAAGUCACAUGUGAAAUCCCCGGGCUUAACCUGGGAACUGCAUGUGAUACUGGUGGUGCUAGAAUAUGUGAGAGGGAAGUAGAAUUCCAGGUGUAGCGGUGAAAUGCGUAGAGAUCUGGAGGAAUACCGAUGGCGAAGGCAGCUUCCUGGCAUAAUAUUGACACUGAGAUUCGAAAGCGUGGGUAGCAAACAGGAUUAGAUACCCUGGUA
rnacentral:rRNA from 1 species